UCAUAAACUUUGAUGUCUUCCUAGGUCGUUCCACAGGCUCUUGCUCUGUUUUUUCCGCACCUUCACCCAACAGGGGGUCUGGAAUGUCGUCAUUGUUGGCAUUAUCUUCUUCAAUCUCUGCUCCUUCCUGUCAGUUAAGCACAAUAAUGAAAAUAACUCAAUCAAAUACUCAUGUAACAUUAACAUAGCUAUAAUAAGGAUUACAAAUAAGACAAAUCAUCUUACCUCAGGCUCAGGAUCCAUUGGCUCGUCCAUGUAUCUGCACAAAUGUAGACAGAAUAAAUGCCUAUUAGGUACAAUACCCAAUGAUGCUUACCAAAAUCUAUCAUAACUUAUCUUCGCAAACACCAAAUCAAAAACAAAAAACAAAUAAACCAAGUAACCAACGGUUUAACAACAAAAAUAGCUAGAAAAACUCAAUACCUUACUCAAUGCAUAUAGUGAUCUAGGGAAAGCUUGACACAAGAAAAGUAGAAAUCUCCCGGGUUUGUAUAAGCGUACACUUAUAACGCAAUAUACAUUGAGAAGGUUUGCUGCAAUUUUUGAGAUACUCAGAUGUUUUACUAUAUUUGAAAAACUCGGUUUUAUUAAUAAUACAAAGCAUUUCUUGGGCAGAAAAGGACACUUGUAACAUCAGUGCUAAAUGACCUUCAGCACAGCUGAUCACCCAUUCCCCAUUCUUGCUUCUUCUUUUUCAGGUAGCUUUUUCUUACACCAAUUCAGCUAUCAGGGGAUUGGUCAUAGACGAAAUUCAAUGAAGGGAUAAAACAAAAAUAAAGAAGAGAAAGAAAGGCAAGUUUCUUCAAGUGAAACUCCUCCGAUAUGCAUCUAGUCAAACAACUUUUUUUUUUUUUUCCAAUUUUGAUGGACAAAAUAGAUUACCAUCCACACUACCUUAAAUGAACUAAUUAGCUAAGUUUCAGAAUAAUCUAUAAGUCGAUGCAAAUGAUCCACUACAAGCAGCAAUGCAGCACAAGUGGAACUCAAUGGAAAAGCUGUUAUAGAGCAAUCUCACUCUACCUAAUGCUUAAAGGGCAUUUCUCCACCAUAUCCUACAAGGUCAGCUUAAAGACAAACUCACCCCAAUUAUUACAUGGACCAUUGUCGUUAUAUAUCACAUCAUUUAAAAUCUUAAAAUGUUGGAGAAGUUUUAACUUGUUUAUUUUGGAUCUGCAACAUGCUCCUCACAUGUAGGUCUAAUCUUUUUUCUUUUGCGGCAUGCACGAGUAAGUACUGCUAAGUUGGGUGAGAGUAAGGAUGAAAAUGAGAUGAGGGCUAAUAGGGAGGAAUACAAGAUAGCUAGGAAAGAGGCUAAGUUGGCACGGCGGCUAAGACGGCAACGUUCGAGAGAUUGUAUGUGGGGUUAGAAGAGAAAGGAGGGGAAAAGAGGUGGUUUAGGCUUGCAAAGGCCAGGAGAGGAAGGGUCGUGACCUCGACCAGGUGAAGUGUAUUAAGGGGGAGGAUGGUAGAGUGUUUGUGGAGGAUGAUCACAUUAAGAAGAGAUGGCAGACGUACUUUGAUAGGUUAUUGAAUGACGAAGGGGAUAGAGAUAUUGUGUUAGGGGAGCUGGAGCACUCAAAGGACUGUCGUGAUUUCAGUUAUUGUAGACGUUUUAAGGUAAAAGAGGUUAAAGAAGCUGUUCGCAGGAUGCGUAGGGGUAGGGCGACGGGGCCUGAUGAGAUUCCUGUGGACUUUUGGAAGUUUUCUGACAAAGCGGGCUUAAGGUGGUUGACUGCAUUGUUUAACGACAUUUUCAAGUCGGCAAAAAUGCCCGAGGCUUAGAGAUGGAGUACAAUGAUCCCUCUUUAUAAGAACAAGGGUGACAUUCAGAGCUACAAUAACUAUAGGGGUAUUAAGUUAUUGAGCCACACUAUGAAGAUUUAGGAGAGAGUGGUCGAGUUGAGAUUGAGAAGGAUAAUGUCUAUCUCGGAGAACCAGUUUGGAUUUAUGCCCGGGCGCUCGACGACAGAGGCGAUUCACCUGGUGCAAAGAGACUGGUGGAGCAGUAUAGGGAAAGGAAGAAGGAUCUGCACAUGGUGUUUAUCGACUUAGAGAAGGCGUACGACAAAGUCCCUAGGGAGGUUCUUUGGAGAUGCUUGGAGGUGAGCAAGGUCCCCAUGGCGUGGCGUAUAUCAGAGUAAUCAAGGACAUGUAUGAUGGAGCCAAGACUCAGGUGAGGACGGCGGGAGGAGACUCAGAGCAUUUCCCUGUCGUGACAGGGUUGCACCAGGAAGUCCUGGUUUGAGUCUAAAGGGUUCAGGUUGAGCAGGAGCAAGACAAAAUAUUUGGAAUGCAAGUUUAAUGACUUGAGGCAGGAAGACGAGGGGGUAGUAAAGUUGGAUUCCCAGGCAGUGUGAAAGAGGGAUAGUUUCAAGUAUCUCGAGUCCAUGAUUUAGGGGAAUGGUGAGAUUGACGAGGAUGUCUCCCACCAGAUUGGGGCGGGAUGGAUGAAGUAAAAGCUCGCCUCGGGGGUGUUGUGUGAUAGGAAGGUACCGCCUAAGCUUAAAGGCAAAUUCUACAGGGUGGCAGUCCAUCCAGCCAUGUUGUAUGGAGCGAAAUGUUGGCCAGUCAAGAACUCACAGUCAAAAAUUGAAGGUGGCGGAAAUGCGGAUAUUGCGUUGGAUGUGUGGGCUUACUAGGGGUCACAGAGUUCGAAAUAAGACUAUUCGAGAAAAGGUUGGAGUGGCUUCGGUGGAGGACAAGAUGCGAGAAGCCCGUUUGAAAUGGUUCGGACAUGUGACGAGGAGGGGCACGAAGUGCCCCGAUUCGUAGGUGCGAGAAGCUUGCUUUGGAUGGUUUCAGGCGGCGUAGGGGUAGGCCGAAGAAAUACAGGAGAGAGGUUAUCAGGCGGGACAUGGAGCAGUUACAGCUCACAGAGGACAUGACCCUAGAUAGGAAGAUCUGGAGAACGCGGAUUAGGAUAGAAGGCUAGUGCCAUUUUGGGUCGCUGGGGUAGGGCAUUACUUGGUAGUAUUAUUCUUGUUAUGACACCUUGUUGCAUGCUUUAUUACGAGUUUGUUUACUGCUCUUUGAUUAUUAUUCCUUGUGGGUGGCGUAGGUAUGUACUGUCAUCUUGUUCCAUGCUUUAUUAAGGAUUUGUGUAUUAUUUCAUGUCUUGAGCCAAGGGUCUAUCGGAAACAGUCUUUCUACUUCUCCGGAGGUAGUGGUGUGGACUGCAUACAUCUUACCCCCCCAGACCCCACUAUGUGGGAAUAUACUGGGUUUGUUGUUGUUGCUGUUGUUGUUGCACGAGUCAGUACAACAACAACUACUAUGCCUUAAUCCCAAACAAGUCGGUC
rnacentral:lncRNA from 1 species